rnacentral:rRNA from 1 species
UCCGUAACUUCGGAAGAAGGUAUGCCUUCGACGGUGUAGGGAUUUACUCCCGAAGCUGUUGAAGGUCGCAGGUAAUCGGUGGCUGCGACUGUUUAUCAAAAACACAGGACUCUGCGAACACGCAAGUGGAAGUAUAGGGUCUGACGCCUGCCCGGUGCCGGAAGGUUAAUUGAUGGGGUUAGCCGCAAGGCGAAGCUCUUGAUCGAAGCCCCGGUAAACGGCGGCCGUAACAAUAACGGUCCUAAGGUAGCGAAAUUCCUUGUCGGGUAAGUUCCGACCUGCACGAAUGGCGUAACGCUGGCCACACUGUCUCGACCCGAGACUCAGUGAAGUUGAAAUCGCUGUGAAGAUGCGGCGUUCCCGCGGCAAGACGGAAAGACCCCGUGAACCUUCACUACAGCUUUACACUGAACUUUGAACCUUUCUGUGUAGGAUAGGUGGGAGGCUAUGAAACUUGGGCGCUAGCUCGAGUGGAGCCAACCUUGAAAUACCACCCUGGGAUGUUUGAAGUUCUAACCUUGGUCCGUAAUCCGGAUUGGGGACAGUGUAUGGUGGGUAGUUUGACUGGGGCGGUCUCCUCCCAAAGAGUAACGGAGGAGUGCAAUGGUACGCUCAGCGCGGUCGGUCAUCGCGCUCUAGAGUGCAAAGGCAUAAGCGUGCUUAACUGUGAGACAGACACGUCGAACAGGUACGAAAGUAGGUCUUAGUGAUCCGGUGGUUCUGUAUGGAAGGGCCAUCGCUCAACGGAUAAAAGGUACUCCGGGGAUAACAGGCUUAUUCCUCCCAAGAGUCCACAUCGACGGAGGAGUUUGGCACCUCGAUGUCGGCUCAUCACAUCCUGGGGCUGUAGCAGGUCCCAAGGGUAUGGCUGUUCGCCAUUUAAAGUGGUACGCGAGCUGGGUUCAGAACGUCGUGAGACAGUUCGGUCCCUAUCUGCCGUGGGCGUUGGAAACUUGAGGGUGAGCUGUCCUUAGUACGAGAGGACCGGGAUGGACGUAUCUCUGGUGUUCCGGUUGUCACGCCAGUGGCACUGCCGGGUAGCUAUAUACGGACGGGAUAAGCGCUGAAAGCAUCUAAGCGCGAAGCCCCCCCCAAGAUUAGGUUUCCCUGGGAACUCGAUUCCCCUAAAGGGCCGUCGGAGACUACGACGUUGAUAGGCUGGGUGUGUAAGUGCAGCAAUGCAUUGAGCUAACCAGUACUAAUUGCCCGUGAGGCUUGACCGA